AUGGGAGCAACAGAGGUGUACCAUGUCCUGGACACAUACUGUCAGGCAACCGGGCAGCGGAUUAACUAUGCCAAGUCUUCUAUCUAUUUUAACAAGGGUGUUCCGGAUUCGGUCAGGCAAGAGAUCAAAGAGACGCUCAACGUUCCCAACGAAACACUAAAUGGAAAGUACUUGGGAAUGCCUUCAGAUAUAGGGAGUUCUAAGAAUGCGGCAUUUAAAUAUCUCAAAGACCGACUGAGGGAGUCCUGGAUUAGGGGGGUGUUCGGAUAG
rnacentral:rRNA from 1 species